rnacentral:rRNA from 1 species
CCCGAAAGAUCGAAUGAGGAGACUCAUCGUUAGCGAUUGGUUCUCGUGUUCGCGUUGAGCGCGAUGUUUGAGACGUGGUGUUCAUUUUUAAUGUCGCCUGUCGAUUUCACGCGUUCGCUGCGUUACGUUUGAUCUCGUUGACGUGCACUUCUCCUCUAGUAGAACGUCGCGACCCGCUGGGUGUCGAAUUAAGGGCAAUUGAUUCGACUGUUCCGUCGCGUUUGCGCGCGUACGUGGGCAGAAUCUUUUGAAUUUUACCCCCGUUCGACUGCCCGGCGGUAUUAAAAGAACGGUAUUCAGCCGCACGCGAGUGCGUUCUCGACUCGUCGCAAGCCAGACCAUUGUUAUUCUCGGGUGUGCGCACUAUGUGUCGUCGCCCGGGAGUGGUUGGCUGUUGGCGUACGAUGUUCUCGAACAGGCUGGUUAAAAUUUGCAUUGGCAUAUACCGGUCGGCGACUCUAUUGAUUUGG